GCUGGGCGUGGUGGGGCACACCUGUAAUCCCAGUUACUUAGGAGGCUGAGGCAGGAGACGUGCUUGAACCUGGGAGGCAGAGGUUGCAGUGAGCUGAGAUAAUGCCACUGCACUCUAGCCUGGGUGACAAAGCAAGACUCUGUCUCAA
rnacentral:sRNA from 1 species